GAAUUCGCCCUUAGAGUUUGAUCCUGGCUCAGGAUGAACGCUAGCGGCAGGCCUAACACAUGCAAGUCGAGGGGUAACAUAGAGAAGCUUGCUUUUCUGAUGACGACCGGCGCACGGGUGCGUAACGCGUAUAGAAUCUACCUUGUACUGAGGGAUAGCCUUUGGAAACGAAGAUUAAUACCUCAUAGUAUAUAGACUUGGCAUCAAGUUUAUAUUAAAGGUUACGGUAUAAGAUGACUAUGCGUUCUAUUAGCUAGAUGGUGUGGUAACGGCACACCAUGGCAACGAUAGAUAGGGGCCCUGAGAGGGGGAUCCCCCACACUGGUACUGAGACACGGACCAGACUCCUACGGGAGGCAGCAGUGAGGAAUAUUGGACAAUGGAGGCAACUCUGAUCCAGCCAUGCCGCGUGCAGGAAGACUGCCCUAUGGGUUGUAAACUGCUUUUAUACAGGAAGAAACACCUCUACGUGUAGAGGCUUGACGGUACUGUAAGAAUAAGGAUCGGCUAACUCCGUGCCAGCAGCCGCGGUAAUAAGGGCG
rnacentral:rRNA from 1 species